CCUUCGCAUUUCUGAUCAGUAGAAAUCGGCAACAUUUAAAUACAAUUUAUGUAGUACCGUGUUUUAACAAUGAGAUGUAGGUACAUGAAUAUACUAUAGUUGGCGUUUUUCCAGGAGAGUUUUUUGGAGACUUACGAAUCAUACAUUUCGCAUUUUUGUAAACAAGUAUAAGUUUUCUACUUCGCAAUAUCUUCUUUUUCUUUCACUUCCGGCAGUACUCAAUAAAGAGUAAACAACAAAGGCUACUUAAGAACAAAUGUUCAAAUGCAUACCUACUAUAAAAAGAUAUAUCAUAAAACUUUCACAAACAAAUUACGGUCUAUUAUAGUUCAGUUUAUGCGAUGGAAGGUCGUGGAUGGGGCGGCUCAUCCAAGAAGGUGAGCCGCCGAUGUCGCGCGCUCCUCUACAGCACAUUAGCAUGCGGCGAACGCGCCCCGCGCACCUACUUACGAUGAGCAAUGCGGAACGCGCGGGUCACUUGGAGAAUUUAAUUGUGCUCCAUUAUCAUAUUUAGGUUCUUUUACGGUAAGCCAAAAGUGAAAACUGAAUGGGAGUCAGCCGCGACAGUCAUUCGUCAACCGCGAUCGAUGGAGACAACUCCCUUCGGUCGGUAGCUCAGGUUUAUUUAAAACAUGGCGUUAAUACAACGUUGUGCUGCGCUCUUGUGUCUUUGCGCUUGCGUCUCGGCAAUCGUCGGGCCGGCAGGGAACUCGACGAAAUCCGCAUCGAAUACGAAAACCGAUACAUAUUUAGAAGCUUAUUCUAAAUCACGGAUAGAAGCUGAGAAGGCGAAGCAAGGAGUUGUGAUUAUAACUGCAAAAGAUGGCGAGAAAAAGAUAUCGAAUCGUGAUGACAGCUACACUGGCUACGACUACUCCCCGCCGUACAGUGAAAGUUCCAGUUUCAGCUCGUCAGGACCUAGUUUUUCUGGGCCGUCGUCUGGACCGUCGGCUUCUAAUUAUUUGCCGCCUUCGAGCUACGGACCACCUGUGAAAUUUGAGUCUGAUAUUACGUAUAAUUCUCCUCCGAAUACGUAUGGGCCACCUUCGAAUAAUUAUGGUCCACCCGCGAAUAGUUACGGGCCUCCAGCGCAUACGUAUGGGCCCCCGACGCAGACUUAUGGGCCACCAACUCAGACAUACGGUCCCCCAGCUCAGUCUUAUGGCCCUCCUGUGCACAAACCUUUGCCACCUGUGUAUGGUCCUCCUCUCAAGCCGUCAUACGGAGUGCCUUACACGGCUCCUGGCCUAGGAUUCCUGGACAAACUAUCCCUCAAGUUGGACAUUCUGACGGUAGCGAAACUGAUGCUGAAAUUCCUGAUCUUCAAAAAGAUUGUGACUAUGAUAGCUGUAGUGUGCAUGUUGCUGGUGAUACCCAAACUGAUAUCAUUCAAGAAAGACGGACAUUCUGCUAGCAACGACGAGGAAGAUCGGAAGUUUGGUCAUAGGAAUUGUAAGUAAAACGCUUUCCUUGAUUAUAUUCCCUUGAUGUAUUGUACAUUUCACACAAGACAGAUCACUAAUAGGUAUUACUAUUAAUUAUUAUUGUUGCAUACUUAUCAUUCGUAAACUGAGAUGACUUUCGGGCUGACAUAUAGAUUCGUUCGUAAUAUAUUACUCUCGUAGUACAAACUAUGUAGUGGUAGAGCUGACAUCAGCGCAGCAACUGUUGGAACGCGCGAUCACAGUGUACGGACAACAGCAGCCUGACUGUGGCGUCACGUGUCGGGCGCGACGUGUGCUCGACGACAUAUACGACUUCCAAC